UAAUACGAAGGGGGCUAGCGUUGUUCGGAAUUACUGGGCGUAAAGCGCGCGUAGGCGGUUUUCCAAGUCGGGCGUGAAAGCCCCGGGCUCAACCCGGGAAAUGCGCUCGAAACUUGAAGACUGGAGGCCGGAAGAGGGUAGUGGAAUUCCCAGUGUAGAGGUGAAAUUCGUAGAUAUUGGGAAGAACACCAGUGGCGAAGGCGGCUACCUGGUCCGGAUCUGACGCUGAGGCGCGAAAGCGUGGGGAGCAAACAGGAUUAGAUACCCUGGUAGUCCACGCCGUAAACGAUGAGUGCUUGAUGUUGGGGGGCCUAGCCCCUCAGUGUCGUAGCUAACGUGAUAAGCACUCCGCCUGGGGAGUACGGCCGCAAGGUUA
rnacentral:rRNA from 1 species